UACGAGUGGUGCGAGCGUUGUUCGGAAUUACUGGGCAUAAAGAGCACGUAGGCGGUCUGGUAAGUCUGCUGUGAAAUCCCCCGGCUCAACCGGGGAACUGCAGUUGAUACUGCUGGGCUAGAGUGCGGGAGGGGAGAGCGGAAUUCCUGGUGGAGCGGUGAUAUGCGUAGAUAUCAGGAGGAACGCCGGAGGCGAAAGCGGCUCUCUGGUCCGUAACUGACGCUGAGGUGCGAAAGCUAGGGGAGCGAACAGG
rnacentral:rRNA from 1 species